CGCGGGAAGCGAGUGGAUCCCUUCGGGGUGAAGCUCGUGGAACGAGCGGCGGACGGGUGAGUAACACGUGGGCAACCUGCCUGUAAGAUCGGAAUAACCCCGGGAAACCGGGGCUAAUGCCGGGUAAUACUUUCUUUCGCAUGAAGGAAAGUUGAAAGAUGGCUUCUNGCUAUCACUUACAGAUGGGCCCGCGGCGCAUUAGCUAGUUGGUGAGGUAACGGCUCACCAAGGCGACGAUGCGUAGCCGACCUGAGAGGGUGAUCGGCCACACUGGGACUGAGACACGGCCCAGACUCCUACGGGAGGCAGCAGUAGGGAAUCUUCCGCAAUGGACGAAAGUCUGACGGAGCAACGCCGCGUGAACGAUGAAGGUCUUCGGAUCGUAAAGUUCUGUUGUUAGGGAAGAACAAGUACCGUGCGAAUAGAGCGGUACCUUGACGGUAC
rnacentral:rRNA from 1 species